rnacentral:rRNA from 1 species
ACUUUACAAUGCGGGAAACCGUGAUAAGGGGACACCGAGUGCUAGCAUCAUAUGCUAGCUGUCCAGGCGUGUAAACUACGCCUGUUAGCAAGGGCCGGGCAAGACCGGUGCCAGCCGCCGCGGUAAUACCGGCGGCUCGAGUGGUGGCCACUAUUACUGGGGCUUAAAGCGUCCGUAGCUUGGUUGUUAAGUCUCCUGGGAAAUCCAUCGGCUCAACCGAUGGGCGUUCAGGAGAUACUGGCAACCUAGGGACCGGGAGAGGUGAGAGGUACUCCAGGGGGUAGGAGUGAAAUCCUGUAAUCCUUGGGGGACCACCGUGUGGCGAAGGCGUCUCACUAGAACGGCUCCGACAGUGAGGACGAAAGCUGGGGGAGC